rnacentral:rRNA from 1 species
CCUACGGGAGGCAGCAGUAAGGAAUCUUGCGCAAUGGGCGAAAGCCUGACGCAGCGACGCCGCGUGGGCGAUGAAGGCCUUCGGGUUGUAAAGCCCUUUUCUGGGGGACGAGGAAGGACGGUACCCCAGGAAUAAGUCACGGCUAACUACGUGCCAGCAGCCGCGGUAAAACGUAGGUGGCAAGCGUUAUCCGGAAUCACUGGGCGUAAAGGGCGUCUAGGCGGACGGGUAAGUCGUGCGUGAAAGCUUCCGGCUCAACCGGGAGAGGUCGUACGAUACUGCCUGUCUUGAGGGUCGGAGAGGGCCGUGGAAUUCCCGGUGUAGGGGUGGAAUGCGUAGAUAUCGGGAGGAACACCAGUGGCGAGGGCGGCCUUCUGGUCUGCCCCUGACACUCAGGCGCGAAAGCGUGGGGAGCAAACAGGAUUAGAUCCCC